rnacentral:rRNA from 1 species
UGGGGAAUAUUGCACAAUGGAGGGAACUCUGAUGCAGCGACGCCGCGUGAGUGAUGAAGGAAUUCGUUUCGUAAAACUCUGUUCUAUGGGAAGAAAAGGACUGUACCAUAGGAGAAAGCUCCGGCUAAAUACGUGCCAGCAGCCGCGGUAAUACGUAUGGAGCGAGCGUUGUCCGGAAUUAUUGGGCGUAAAGGGUGCGCAGGAGGCUUUACAAGUUGGAUGUGAAAUAUUGUGGCUCAACCACAAACGUGCAUCCAAAACUGCAAAGCUUGAGUUAAGGAGAGGUAAGUGGAAUUCCUGGUGUAGCGGUGGAAUGCGUAGAUAUCAGGAGGAAUACCGGUGGCGAAGGCGACUUACUGGACUUAAACUGACGCUCAGGCACGAAAGCGUGGGGAGCAAACAGG